GAUGAACGCUGGCGGCGUGCCUAAUACAGGCAAGUCGAGCGAACAGAUAAGGAGCUUGCUCCUUUGACGUUAGCGGCGGACGGGUGAGUAACACGUGGGUAACCUACCUAUAAGACUGGAAUAACUCCGGGAAACCGGGGCUAAUGCCGGAUAACAUUUAGAACCGCAUGGUUCUAAAGUGAAAGAUGGUUUUGCUAUCACUUAUAGAUGGACCCGCGCCGUAUUAGCUAGUUGGUAAGGUAAUGGCUUACCAAGGCAACGAUACGUAGCCGAGCUGAGAGGGUGAUCGGCCACACUGGAACGGGGACACGGUCCAGACUCCGACGGGAGGCAGCAGUAGGGAAUCUUCCGCAAUGGGCGAAAGCCUGACGGAGCAACGCCGCGUGAGGGAUGAAGGGUUUCGGCUCGUAAAACUCUGUUAUUAGGGAAGAACAAACGUGUAAGUAACUGUGCACGUCUCGACGGUACCUAAUCAGAAAGCCACGGCUAACUACGUGCCAGCAGCCGCAGUAAGAC
rnacentral:rRNA from 1 species